GAUGAACGCUGGCGGCGUGCCUAAUACAUGCAAGUCGAGCGAACGGACGAGAAGCUUGCUUCUCUGAUGUUAGCGGCGGACGGGUGAGUAACACGUGGAUAACCUACCUAUAAGACUGGGAUAACUUCGGGAAACCGGAGCUAAUACCGGAUAAUAUUUUGAACCGCAUGGUUCAAAAGUGAAAGACGGUCUUGCUGUCACUUAUAGAUGGAUCCGCGCUGCAUUAGCUAGUUGGUAAGGUAACGGCUUACCAAGGCAACGAUGCAUAGCCGACCUGAGAGGGUGAUCGGCCACACUGGAACUGAGACACGGUCCAGACUCCUACGGGAGGCAGCAGUAGGGAAUCUCCCGCAAUGGGCGAAAGCCUGACGGAGCAACGCCGCGUGAGUGAUGAUGGUCUUCGGAUCGUAAAACUCUGUUAUUAGGGAAGAACAUAUGUGUAAGUAACUGUGCACAUCUUGACGGUACCUAAUCAGAAAGCCACGGCUAACUACGUG
rnacentral:rRNA from 1 species